UAAGGAAAGCAAUCAAAACUAAACAAGCAGUUUUAUUAUUUUAUAAAGUUAAAUUAAACUCUUUAUGCUAUCGUUGAUGCAAACACAACCAGCUUCGGCAUAUAACUUAACUAAGAAAAAGUUAGAGAAAAAUUUCGUAACAAAUAAACUCAACAAAAUCCAAAAAAUGGACGCAAAGAAUCAAAAAAUAAUAAAAAUUCAUCAUAGUAUUUGGGCUAAUCAUCUACCGGUCUAGUUCAUUCAUUUAAAAAAAUCAAAAAAAAGUGAAUAAAUAAAUUACUUGACAUUAAAAUAUAAGUGGAAAUUAAACAUGUGUUCGGAUAUAUGACGAGUUAAACGUAUCUAUCUAAAAAAGGUCAGCAUCUUUGACUAAUAACACGCAUAUUAAAUUAAAUGUUUGCAAUGCGUGCGUGGCUUAACAAAGUGUCUUAUUCAAAGGUCUAUAAAAGCUUUUCAUUUUGAAAUAUCAGUUGCAUGAAGUUGAGGGCAAAAGCAAGCUAAUCAAAAAAUGCGCAAGCAUUGCUGUUGAUGUUCCCGCGUUAUAUCAUUGCAACUAUUAUGAAAGACUUAAAUUUGAACACUAGCCGGAUCCUACAUGCAUGCUGUCAGAAAAUCACUUUUAGCUGUUUCAAGUCUGUUCCGAGUCAACCAAUACAUCAUUCACAUUAUUGCCGCCAUCAUAAGGGUUUUAAAACGUUUAGGGUAAUCGAUAUGGCAGUUCACAACGUUAACUUGCGGUGAGAGCAAUUGAACCCAUUGCUUAUAAUCGGCGUUUUAAGCAUAUAAAUAGCGAUUGCUGAAUUGCGUAUACAUUCGAUGCGACUCAGUCCUAUAAACUUUUUACGCACAUUGCAAAUCCUUCAUAAGUGCCAUAAAAUUGAACAGCUUCACGGAAGGAAGUAACCUAAAACGCUGCCAAUGGCUAUUAGGCUGGAUUGGAGUGUGAUAAAAAAAACGUGAGUUUAGUGAAAAAAGACCGAAAUAAGAUUCAUAUUGACGAUGAGUCAAAACUAAAAAAAAGCGAUAUAUGUAAUCUGCAACAACAUGCGAGAAACACUGUAACAACAAGCGGAGUGAAAAAUGAAAAAUUAAGAUACGAGAAUAUAUUGUGAUCGAAAGUAAAUAUGGGAAACUCCUGCUUUCACGGGUUUAUUAAUCUUCUAAAAAAUCUUCAUAAUAUAAUUGAUACAUUAGACGGGCAGAGGAUUGAACCAAUUUCUUAUCUUUGAGGUUGCACUAUCGUUAACCUGCGUAGAUAUUGGGUAGUCUGUAACUGCGCUUAGUGCCGUGCAUAGUCAGCAAUCUUUUCUUGCAAAUUCAACGAAAUACGGACCCAAAACAUGUCCUUAAAACUUCCAAACAACUUAAAUAAUUCCUGAAUUAAUGGCUAGUAAUCGAUAACAAUUUUUGAAGUUUAUAUCGUCGGCAAUAUUUUUAGUGAACACCGAUUCCUACAACGACUGUUUGCAGCUUAAAGGUAGUGACGUCAACAAAAACUUCGAGUUUUCCACACUAACGUUUAAGAAAGAAUUUAUUUCGGUAAGAAUUUAUAAAUUACUGGAGUAUUCCUUUUUCUCCUCGUUUUUCAUAAUCUACCAAACGCACUUGGCUUUUUGUUCAUGGUGAUUUGAAGAAUCAUGCUAUUUUAUCAAAAAAAACUUGUGAUUAUUUUCCUUUUUGGAUCGUUGGAUUAAAACCCUUUUUUUUUCUUUUUUUUCUUCUAUAAUUUAUUAAACGCACGCAUACAAGGUAAAAAUGUAAUAAUAGUUCAGGUGCACAUCAGUACUACAAUCAUGAAAUCUAAGUAGACAUUUUUGUUUCACGACUAAAGGUUACAAUUUAAGCAACUAUUUCUGUUUCUUGAACAAAAUUUAAAAUGUAAUAACAAUUUCAAUGCACAUCAGUGUUACAGCAAUGAAGUUUAAGUAGCCAUUUUUGUUUCACAAUCAAAAGUUAAAAUUUAAGCAAAUAUUUCUGUUUCUCGAAUAAAAUUUACAGCGC